rnacentral:rRNA from 1 species
GUGGGGAAUAUUGCACAAUGGGCGAAAGCCUGAUGCAGCAACGCCGCGUGAGUGAUGAAGGCCUUUGGGUCGUAAAACUCUGUCCUUGGGGAAGAAAAAAAUGACGGUACCCUUGGAGGAAGCCCCGGCUAACUACGUGCCAGCAGCCGCGGUAAUACGUAGGGGGCAAGCGUUAUCCGGAUUUACUGGGUGUAAAGGGAGCGUAGACGGAAUGGCAAGUCUGAAGUGAAAUCCUGCGGCUUAACUGCAGAAUUGCUUUGGAAACUGUCAAUCUGGAGUGUUGGAGAGGUAAGCGGAAUUCCCGGUGUAGCGGUGAAAUGCGUAGAUAUCGGGAGGAACAUCGGUGGCGAAGGCGGGUAACUGGACUGCAACUGACGCUGAGGCGCGAAAGUGUGGGGAGCAAACAGGAUUAGAUACCCUUGUAGUCC